rnacentral:rRNA from 1 species
UGCGUAGGCGGUGUAGCAAGUCGGGAGUGAAAUACCCCAGCUUAACUGAGGAAUUGCUUUCGAUACUGCUAUGCUUGAGUGAGACAGAGGUAAGCGGAACUUAGGGUGGAGCGGUGAAAUGCGUUGAUAUCCUAAGGAACACCGGUGGCGAAGGCGGCUUACUGGGUCUCAACUGACGCUGAGGCACGAAAGCCAGGUAGGCAAACG